AUGCUACAGAGUGGGGUAUACUUUGUGGCCUGUUUAUACUCUCCAGAAGCACUACGCCACAAGUGGAAUAAAUAUUGUUUGGAGCCUCCUAGGAAGAAAGAAGGACUUUCUUUGAGCAGAUGCACAUGAUACUCCAGAGGACUGGUUGGUGGAGAAGCUAUAGCUUCAUGAGAUCAGAAAACAGAAGCGUGUCACGGAUGGGAGCCCCUCAUCCUGCUGGGGAGCUGCCAAGCCCUGCAGCAGUCUGGAGCCAUUGAGUUGCUGCGGUAGCUACAGAAACUGUAAACCAUGAGUGCGGCCCCAGGCGGGGGAAGUGCCGACCCAUCUCUCUGUCCCUGCCUCCUGCAGCCCUUCAGCGAGAGUCCACCAUGGGGAAGG